rnacentral:rRNA from 1 species
GACGAACGCUGGCGGCGUGCCUAACACAUGCAAGUCGAGCGGAGACAGUAGCAAUACUGUCUUAGCGGCGGACGGGUGAGUAACGCGUGGGCAACCUGCCUUGGACAGGGGGGAUAACACUGGGAAACUAGUGCUAAUACCGCAUGAUAUAUAGAGAGGACAUCCUCAUUAUAUCAAAGGAGAAAUCCGGUCUGAGAUGGGCCCGCGUCCGAUUAGCUAGUUGGUAAGGUAAUGGCUUACCAAGGCGACGAUCGGUAGCCGAACUGAGAGGUUGAUCGGCCACAUUGGGACUGAGAUACGGCCCAGACUCCUACGGGAGGCAG